UCAAAGUGUUUAUUUCUGCUCACACAUUCAAUUAUUGAACGACAAAGCUGUCAAGUCCGAUAUGUUUUUCAAAGUGUUUAUUUCUGCUCACGCAUUCAAUUAUUGAACGACAAAGCUGUCAAGUCCGAUAUGUUUUUCAAAGUGUUUAUUUCUGCUCACGCAUUCAAUUAUUGAACGACAAAGCUGUCAAGUCCGAUAUAUUUUUCAAAGUGUUUAUUUCUGCUCACGCAUUCAAUUAUUGAACGACAAAGCUGUCAAGUCCGAUAUAUUUUUCAAAGUGUUUAUUUCUGCUCACGCAUUCAAUUAUUGAACGACAAAGCUGUCAAGUCCGAUAUGUUUUUCAAAGUGUUUAUUUCUGCUCACGCAUUCAAUUAUUGAACGACAAAGCUGUCAAGUCCGAUAUGUUUUUCAAAGUGUUUAUUUCUGCUCACGCAUUCAAUUAUUGAACGACAAAGCUGUCAAGUCCGAUAUAUUUUUCAAAGUGUUUAUUUCUGCUCACGCAUUCAAUUAUUGAACGACAAAGCUGUCAAGUCCGAUAUAUUUUUCAAAGUGUUUAUUUCUGCUCACGCAUUCAAUUAUUGAACGACAAAGCUGUCAAGUCCGAUAUAUUUUUCAAAGUGUUUAUUUCUGCUCACGCAUUCAAUUAUUGAAGUAAGUAUUCUUUACUGAAUUUCCCGUUUAAUCAAACAGGUAAUCAAAACAAGCCCGAUAUGGGACUCGAACCCAUGGCCCUCAGAUUAAAAGUCUGAUGCUCUACCAACUGAGCUAACCGGGCAGCUAAUGCUUUCGUUGGGAAAUUAACCAA
rnacentral:tRNA from 1 species